UACAGAGGGUGCGAGCGUUAAUCGGACUUACAGGGCGUAAAGCGCACGUAGGCGGCUUGGUAUGUCGGGUGUGAAAUCCCCGGGCUCAACCUGGGAACUGCAUCCGAAACUGCAUUGCUAGAGUAUGGGAGAGGGAAGCGGAAUUUCCGGUGUAGCGGUGAAAUGCGUAGAUAUCGGAAGGAACAACAGUGGCGAAGGCGGCUUCCUGGACCAAUUCUGAUGCUCAGGUGCGAAAGCGUGAGGAGCAAACAGG
rnacentral:rRNA from 1 species